UGGGGAAUUUUGGACAAUGGGCGCAAGCCUGAUCCAGCAAUGCCGCGUGCAGGAAGAAGGCCUUCGGGUUGUAAACUGCUUUUGUACGGAACGAAACGGUCUGGGUUAAUACCCUGGGCUAAUGACGGUACCGUAAGAAUAAGCACCGGCUAACUACGUGCCAGCAGCCGCGGUAAUACGUAGGGUGCAAGCGUUAAUCGGAAUUACUGGGCGUAAAGCGUGCGCAGGCGGUUUUGUAAGACAGGCGUGAAAUCCCCGGGCUCAACCUGGGAAUGGCGCUUGUGACUGCAAAGCUGGAGUGCGGCAGAGGGGGAUGGAAUUCCGCGUGUAGCAGUGAAAUGCGUAGAUAUGCGGAGGAACACCGAUGGCGAAGGCAAUCCCCUGGGCCUGCACUGACGCUCAUGCACGAAAGCGUGGGGAGCAAACA
rnacentral:rRNA from 1 species